GAUACUAAUAAAAUUCAGAGCAAGGAAAAGCCAGGGUGCGACAGCUACAACAGCGCUGUGGCUCCAGUGGAAGGCAGAUUUUUUUUUGGAUGUACGGACGGAUCUGGAUCCUACUGUUGCUACGGAGAACUUGAGCCUGUGUUCGUGUUGAGCUCGUGAUGUUCACGUUGGAUACCUCCUCCAAGUGAUGUUCCCUGGCCCUGUGGACCGACGUCUAAUGACUCCUUAAUCUAAACCUGCACCAGCCGCCCCAGGAUGAUGGACCUCUCUUCGAAGACUCAGCUGGAUCAAACUUACCAUGGAGGCCAAGUCUUUAUUCAAUACACUAUGCCGCAUGAUGACGUACGCAUGACGUCAUCCGCCUCAAGUUUUCUGCUGGCCCUUCAUUGAACGAAACAGUGGCGGAAUUCACGCAAUCUUAUUUACUUCCUGCACACGGUUGAUCGAAUAAAUUAUUUCGUAUA
rnacentral:lncRNA from 1 species